CUGCUUUAUUUACCCAACCAAUUCGACCUGCCAACUCACUCCUGUAAAAAAAAAGUGAUCGAUCCAUUUGUCCUGACCUCAGACUAUUUUCAAGGGCGCAGUGGCGAGGGGGGGGGUGAAGGAAGGAGAUCCCUUCCCCGUCACUCCCGCCGGGCACGACCAAAGCCUGAAGGUCCGAGAGGGACCCAGACUCCCCGCAGCUCUCCGGAUGCCCUCGUUGGCUCUCUCCGGUCUCCUCAGUCUUUGCUUGGAGCCUCCCCGCAACUCCGACGCCCUGCCCGGCGCUGCUUCCUUCUUUGCGGGCGGGGGCGGUUUCAACAUCCCACUGCAGCUGCCGCAGGGUAAGAACCGGGAGCCGCGGAGCACCUGCCUGGUUGCCGGUCACCCGGCUCUGCGGCUCCCUUUAGGGGUUCCCUCCUUGCUAAAUAUGUUAAUAGAGAGGGAAGCCAAGGCUUCACUCAGGUCCGCCUUCCCAGCGGGAAAACAACGUUAGUUUAAAUUCAUUGGUUCACAUGAAAGGCGGGAAAAUAGAGCAAGCUCAGUGGUAGGAAUGCCAGCCGAAGAGAUCGCUGUACCAAUCUACUCAAUAGAGAGCUUGGAGUCACCAUACGGAGUCCUGCCUCUUCAGUCCACACACCCCCCCCCACUUUAACAUUGGAAAACGAAGGUGGGCUCCGAAGAGGACAAAGGAGCUGAACUGAGCAGGGAAUCCACGCGGCCAGCAGCAAGUUGAGAAAUUGCAUCAGGGUUUUCUUGCCAAGAUGACCACGGACGCUCCCCUAGCUCCAUUCAGCCCAGCUACGGAGAGUUGGAAAUCAUAUAUGGCGCGGUUCCAUUGCUUCCUGGAAGUCAACGAUCUAUUGGGUCUGCCGGACAAUAGGAAGAGGGCGAUUUUCCUAACCCGCUGUGGACCCAAAGUCUUCAAAAUGGCUCAGGCACUCUCGGAACCAGCCGAUGUCCGGACGGUACCGUGGACAACCCUCCAGGAAACGCUACGGGCACAUUAUGCGCCCGUCCCGGCAAAGAUGCUGUGCAGAUACGAAUUUCACCACAGGAGCCAAGGGGAAGGUGAGACGAUCAACCAAUACGUCAUCGCGCUACGAGAAGCCGCAGUUGAUUGCCAGUUUAGGAAUCUAGAGGAAGCCCUGCUCGAUAGGCAUGUUUUGGGAUUGAGGGACCUCAGUCUGCAGACCAGUUUACUAGCGAAGCCUGAUCUCACGUUUGAAAUGGCGCUUGAUGAAGCAAGAGCAAACGAAGCCUCCGAUAAGCACGAAGACUCAACAGAUCAGGGCGAUGAAAUCCGGAGACGUUUCGAAAGAAAGACGGGGAAUCCGGAGACGGGGGAAAGGCUGCCUUUUUGUGCCAGAUGCGGGGGCGAUCACCCCAGAACGGGCUGCAGAUUCCGGGAUGCCAUUUGCCAAAGAUGCGGGCGGAAGGGGCACAUAGCGAGGGCCUGCCGUGCCAACCAUCCUGCCCGGGACCGCCAGUGGCAGCCUGCCACCCAAACGGGUUUCCCAAAAGCGCAGUUUCCAAAGCCCGAGAGAAGAGAAAACCGAGCGGCGGAAGCAAGAGAAACACGGGAAACCAUCAUAGGGUGCAUUAACGUACAUCCCUCAAAGCAAAUCCGUGUCACGGUUCUCAUCGAAGGGUCUCCCUGCGACAUGGUGGUGGCCACGGGUUCGUGCAUGACCGUGGUGUCGUGGAAAACCAUAAAGAAGGCGGUUCCGGAACUGGCAAAGAAAGAAUUGACGCCUCUGAAGGUACUUUUAAAGGACUAUCAAAGGAACCCCAUCCCCGUCGUAGGGAGGGGAUCCUUCCAAGUCGAAUACAACCAUUUUCUCGGACCGUUGCAGCUGACCGUGGUGAAAGGCGACCUGCCAAGCCUGCUUGGACUGGAAUGGUUCGGUUCUCUGGGUUUAGGAUUGACCGACCACAGUGAAAGGAUCAAGCUGCCCAAGAAAUUCGUGGACGUCAACGGGAGUUUGGAAGGUGACGGUAGCUACAUCGACUGCUAGACAAGAAGGCGAAUUGGACCUUGGGGACGGAAGGAAGCCUCUGCAGUAAAGAAACUAUUAUCAUCCCAUAGCGUUCUUGCACAAUAUAAUCAGACUCUGCCCCUCAACUCGCCUGUGCCGUUAUCAGCCAAUGGAUACCAAAUGACUGUCCUUGUCUUCCUCUCCUGUCUCCGGCCAUCCAGCCAUCGACUCCUUGGGUUCUGGGCAGCAGACUCCGCCAAGGAGUCUUCUCCAGGAGCUGAGCCUCCCACCCUCAGUCCAGAAAGGAUUAUUCUCACCUCUGCCUGCCUCACAGGAUUGUUGGGAGGAGCUGGGGGGGCGGGGGAGAAUCAGAAGAAAUGUGGUGGUUUCUUUUACAAUCUGAAGUGCCUGGAGGACCUGAAGCGUUGCAGGGGGGUGACUGCGGGGUGCAGCAGAGUGUUUGGAGAGGAUUUAGGUCUUAAUUCCUUGUUGUUGAGUAACCUAAUGUUCAGCAGCAGCAUCCAAAGGCUUGGGUCUCCCAAGGUCCACUGUCCAGGGUCUGGCUUUUGUUGAAUUUUGUCUUGUGUGUUAAUUGCACCCAUUCCUAGAUUGAGGGGCUCUGCUCACAAUCACUCAUUAGGCAAGUUUUUCUUUUAAUUUGAAUUUAUAUCCCGCCCUUCUCCAAAGACUCAGGGCAGCUUACACUAUGUUAGCAAUAGUCUUCAUUCUAUUUGUAUAUUUAUAUACAAAGUCAACUUAUUGCCCCCAACAAUCUGGGUCCUCAUUUUACCUACCUUAUAAAGGAUGGAAGGCUGAGUCAACCUUGGGCCUGGUGGGACUAGAACCUGCAGUAAUUGCAAGCAGCUGUGUUAAAAACAGAUUGCAUUAGUCUGUUGAGCCAUCAGAGUGCCCCAAAUAAAUCUCCUCCCCCUUCUUGCCCCUCCCAUUCCCCCUUUCCUUCACCUCCCUGCUUUGGAGACUGUCUAGCCCAGGGGUCUCCAACCUUUUGGACCUCAGGAACCACCAAAUUCAUAAUUUUAAAUCCCGUGGACCACUGGAGUGGGGGGGGGGGCUCCUCGCAAUCACGCAUGACAGGGUUUGCCCUUGCUGUGUACACCUCUGCGAAGUAUUUCAUGCACACACAGAGACACAAAUACUCCUUGACUCUCACUCCCCCACUUGCCAAGGACUGUUUGUCCAUAUAGGCAGACUCUGCCAUUUAAUUUCGGGAGAAGCAGCUAGACCUCGUGGUGAAUCCGGGUCAGACUGAGCUCACAGCCCUCCUUCCCUGAAGACCUUGAGACUCAGGAAGACGAAUCCAGCAAGCGCAAGGACCGCGUUCCUGGGUGAGCUGACAACCAUAUACAGCUCCCUCUCACACUCCCUGUGCUACUUCUACCUGCAACUGCC